UGAGCGCUGGCGGCGUGCCUAACACAUGCAAGUCGAACGGAGUUAACGCUGACGAAGCUUCGGCAGAUUCUUGUAAACUUAGUGGCGGACGGGUGAGUAACGCGUGGGUAACCUGCCUCAUACAGGGGGAUAGCAGUUGGAAACGACUGAUAACACCGCAUAAGCGCACGGUAUCGCAUGAUACAGUGUGAAAAUAUUUAUAGGUAUGAGAUGGACCCGCGUCUGAUUAGCUAGUUGGUGAGGUAACGGCCCACCAAGGCGACGAUCAGUAGCCGGCCUGAGAGGGCGGACGGCCACAUUGGGACUGAGACACGGCCCAAACUCCUACGGGAGGCAGCAGUGGGGGAUAUUGCACAAUGGGCGAAAGCCUGAUGCAGCGACGCCGCGUGAAGUGAAGAAGUAUUUCGGUAUGUAAAGCUCUAUCAGCAGGGAAGAAAGGCCUCGAAAGAGGAGAUGACGGUACCUGAGUAAGAAGCCCCGGCUAACUACGUGCCAGCCGCAGC
rnacentral:rRNA from 1 species